rnacentral:rRNA from 1 species
UGGGGAAUAUUGCGCAAUGGGCGAAAGCCUGACGCAGCGACGCCGCGUGAGGGAUGAAGGUCUUCGGAUCGUAAACCUCUGUCAGCAGGGAAGAACGGUUCACUGUGCUAAUCAGCAGUGAAUUGACGGUACCUGCAAAGGAAGCACCGGCUAACUCCGUGCC